rnacentral:misc_RNA from 1 species
AACCAUAGAAACCUGCGGAGUACCUGCGGAGGGAUCAUUACACAGUAAACAUAUGAAGGCUGCACCGCCAACAGGCGGCAAGGCUGGAGUAUUUUAUUACCCUUGUCUUUUGCGCACUUGUUGUUUCCUGGGCGGGUUCGCCCGCCUCCAGGACCACAUGAUAAACCUUUUUUAUGCAGUUGCAAUCAGCGUCAGUACAACAAAUGUAAAUCAUUUACAACUUUUAACAAUGGAUCUCAG